UAAAAACACUGGGGGAGUCUAUUUAGACUGAGAUGGAGAUAUCCGGACCCUUUGAACCUGAUCUGCUUAAAACCAGCGUAGGGAAGUGGCUGCUAUAUACU
rnacentral:ncRNA from 1 species